UUUGUCAUUUCAUUCCAUCAUGCUUCUCUGUGCACUUGUAAUAUUUUCAGUACUAGCAGGAGACUCUCUUGGUGAUCUAAUAACAUCUCAUGGUCCUGAAAAAGCAGCUCAAGAUGGAAACAGUGUUACUCUCUCCUGUAACUACAGUGGUGCUGUUUACAAUCUACUGUGGUAUCGUCAGUAUCAGAGAUCCAAACCAGAACUCCUUCUCUCCAUCACUGAAUCUGGAGAUCCAGUUAAAGCAGAUCCAUCAGCCCACUGGUUUUCUGCUAAAGUUGACAAACAGAGAAAGCUCAUGGAACUGGAAAUCAGCCCUGCUAAAGUAACAGACUCUGCACAGUAUUAUUGUGCCCUGCAGCCCACAGUGACAGGAAACCCUUUUCCUCAGUACAUAAUCUUCCUGCAUAUUAGCCUUUUCAUUGAUGCUUAACAAGCACAUGUAUUCUGUGUGUCGUGUCUGUGACUGAAUCCGCUAUCAGUAACACAAGGAUCUAUUAAUAAUUCCACAAGAACAUAAUACAUAUUUCCAUAAAGAACACACACACAAGCUUAAUGUGGUAUACAAGAAGAGUUCAGAAGAGGCUUGAUACACUUACUGAUUUAUCAUUAAAUUCAAACUACAUACA